AUGCUCGCCGACCUCUCCCGCUCCCAGGACGCGGCGGCCGGCGACGGCACCACCACCGUCGUCGUCAUCGCCGGGGCCCUGCUCCGCCGCGCGCAGUCGCUCCUCGCGGCCGGCGCCCACCCCACCGCCGCCGCCGACUCCCUCCACCGCCUCGCGGCCCGCGCCGUCCAGGUCCUCGAGGGCAUGGCCAUCCCCAUCGAGCUCACCGACCGGGACUCCCUCGUCAAAUCUGCCUCCACCGCGCUCAACUCCAAGGUCGUCUCCCAGUACUCCGGCCUCCUCGCCCCGCUCGCUGUUGACGCCGCCCUCUCCGUGGUCGAUCCCGCCCACCCGGAGCUUCUUGAUCUCCGUGACAUCCACAUCAUAAAGAAGCUCGGCGGCACCAUGGAUGACACCGAGCUCGUCCGCGGCCUUAUCUUUGACAAGAAGGCCAGCCAUGCUGCCGGGGGGCCAUCUAGGAUCGAGAAUGCCAAGAUUGCUGUCAUCCAGUUUCAGAUCUCACCGCCCAAGACUGAUAUUGAGCAGAGCGUCAUCGUGUCAGACUAUGCGCAGAUGGACCGCAUCCUCCGCGAGGAGCGCAAUUACAUCCUAGGGAUGGUAGAUCAAGACUUCUGGGUGCGAUGUCCUCCUCAUCCAGAAGAGCAUCUUGUGUGA
rnacentral:rRNA from 1 species